ACCACUUCUUGGCCUUUUGGCUAAGUAAGAUCAAGAGUUGUAUCUGCUCUUAUCAGUUUAGAAAAAGCCUAUCGCUGUCUCUGAAAGCCUUGCGAGGUUUUCGUAGGAAUUGCAUUAAGCCUAUGGUUUGAGGAGCAUUGUCGUCUUGUCUGUAUUGAGGCUUCCAGUCCCUGCACACAGGAUGCCUCUUCGUUU
rnacentral:snRNA from 1 species